rnacentral:lncRNA from 1 species
GAAUCUGGUAGGGAUUGAAGCACAAUGUCCACACACAAGUUAUCCUCUAGGACCAUUCCUAGACCUGUGAGUUUCUCUAUCCACUCAAUCAUCUUUAGGACAUGGUUCUGAACCGGUGUCCCCUCAGUCAUCCUAGCGCGGAAAAGGCUCUUGGAUAUCUCAUAUCGUUGAGUCCUUCCCUGUUCCUCAAACAAUUUGCGGACAUGUAGGAGAAUGGAUCUGGCAUCCAUCUUUUCAUGUUGUCUCUGUAACUCAGGAGUUAUAGAGCCCAACAUAUAGCACUG